rnacentral:misc_RNA from 1 species
UAAUUAAUCAUAAAAUAUUACAGAUCUGCAAGGAAAGAAUUUAUUGUCUGAUCUGACAACACAGCAUUCUUCAUCAAUUUACAUAAAUUAUACGAGUUUUUCAAAUGCUUUUAUACUUCUACAUAGAAGUACUUGUAUCAAACAACUUUAUGUCAAAGUUUGAUACGAUUCGAUAUACAUAUAUGUAGUUAAUGAAUUAAAAAGCCAGUGCAUGUAUGGUAGUUUUCCUAGAGCAAGCUGAUUUAUAUAAUCAAAUCAAAAUCAUGUGGAUGUACAUGCAAGUUUUCAAAUUCUGUUUCACACAGUCUUCUUACUGGUGUUAUAUGCUCGCAUUUAAAUAAAAUAGUUAACAGUGAAGAGUGUGCAUAUUAUGAAAGAAAUAUAUAAUUGUCAUUAAUUUUCACCUUAAAAAAAAUUGUGAAGCACUUGAAUGGUUGUCAUGUCACUAUGAAUUUACAUAUCAUUUUGUGGAUGUAAUCUGUGUACAUUAUACAGAAGGUUGUUAAGUGUUAUACAAGUGUUGUAUUUGUACUGUGUAAUGUGUAAGACAUGUCAUAUUUUCUUCAGAAAGAUCUGUUGAGGUUGUCAAUUUACUUUUGUAAAUUCCUUUUUUUUUGCCAUAUACUCAACUAUGAAUUUAUUUCUCUGUUGCAUCGUACCGAUUGUAAUUCUCUAUUUAGAAAAAAUAGAGGUUGAAAUGAAAGAAACUUUUAAAGAUAAUAAAACUUAGAAAGAAUAUUU